UCGGAUAUGGUGUAACGGCUAACAUUGCCGCCUCUCAUGUUCAUUGAAUAGUUGAGAUCGCGGCAGCUCGGGGUUCGAUUCCCCGUAUCCGAA